rnacentral:rRNA from 1 species
UAGGGAAUUUUCGUCAAUGGGGGAAGCCCUGAACGAGCAAUGCCGCGUGUGUGAAGAAGGUCUUCGGAUCGUAAAGCACUGUUGUAAGUGAAGAAUGCCACAUAGAGGAAAUGCUAUGUGGGUGACGGUAGCUUACCAGAAAGCCACGGCUAACUACGUGCCAGCAGCCGCGGUAAUACGUAGGUGGCAAGCGUUAUCCGGAAUCAUUGGGCGUAAAGGGUGCGUAGGUGGCACGAUAAGUCUGAAGUAAAAGGCAACAGCUCAACUGUUGUAUGCUUUGGAAACUGUCGAGCUAGAGUGCAGAAGAGGGCGAUGGAAUUCCAUGUGCAGCGGUAAAAUGCGUAGAUAUAUGGAGGAACACCAGUGGCGAAGGCGGUCGCCUGGUCUGUAACUGACACUGAUGCACGAAAGCGUGGGGAGCAAAUAGGAUUAGAUACC